rnacentral:rRNA from 1 species
GAUGAACGCUAGCUACAGGCUUAACACAUGCAAGUCGAGGGGAAACGAUGAGAGAGCUUGCUCUCUUAGUCGUCGACCGGCGCACGGGUGAGUAACGCGUAUCCAACCUGCCUCUGACCAAGGGAUAACCCGUCGAAAGUCGGACUAAUACCUUAUGCAGUCGUCGGAAGUCAUCUGAUGACGACGAAAGAUUUCAUCUGUGAGAGAUGGGGAUGCGUCUGAUUAGCUUGUUGGCGGGGUAACGGCCCACCAAGGCGACGAUCAGUAGGGGUUCUGAGAGGAAGGUCCCCCACAUUGGAACUGAGACACGGUCCAAACUCCUACGGGAGGCAGAAGUGAGGAAUAUUGGUCAAUGGGCGUAAGCCUGAACCAGCAAAGUAGCGUGCAGGAUGACGGCCCUAUGGGUUGUAAACUGCUUUUAUGCGGGGAUAAAGUGAGGGACGUGUCCUUCAUUGCAGGUACCGCAUGAAUAAGGACCGGCUAAUUCCGUG